rnacentral:rRNA from 1 species
AACGAACGCUGGCGGCGCGCCUAAUACAUGCAAGUCGAGCGAGAAGACGUAGCAAUACGUUUGUAAAGCGGCGAACGGGUGAGGAAUACAUGGGUAACCUACCCUCGAGUGGGGAAUAACUAGCCGAAAGGUUAGCUAAUACCGCGUACGCUCCUUGGACUUCGGUUCAGGGAGGAAAGCGAUACCGUGGGUAUCGCGCUCUUGGAUGGGCUCAUGUCCUAUCAGCUUGUUGGUGAGGUAACGGCUCACCAAGGCUACGACGGGUAGCUGGUCUGAGAGGACGAUCAGCCACACUGGCACUGCGACACGGGCCAGACUCCUACGGGAGGCAGCAGUAAGGAAUAUUGCGCAAUGGGCGAAAGCCUGACGCAGCGACGCCGCGUGGGGGAUGAAGGUCUUCGGAUUGUAAACCCCUUUCGGGAGGGAAGAUGGAAUGGGGUAACCCAUUCGGACGGUACCUCCAGAAGCAGCCACGGCUAACUUCGUGCCAGCCGCCGCAGUAAUAC